rnacentral:rRNA from 1 species
GAUGAACGCUGGCGGCGUGCCUAAUACAUGCAAGUCGAGCGAACAGACGAGGAGCUUGCUCCUCUGACGUUAGCGGCGGACGGGUGAGUAACACGUGGAUAACCUACCUAUAAGACUGGGAUAACUUCGGGAAACCGGAGCUAAUACCGGAUAAUAUAUUGAACCGCAUGGUUCAAUAGUGAAAGACGGUUUUGCUGUUACUUAUAGAUGGAUCCGCGCCGCAUUAGCUAGUUGGUAAGGUAACGGCUUACCAAGGCGACGAUGCGUAGCCGACCUGAGAGGGUGAUCGGCCACACUGGAACUGAGACACGGUCCAGACUCCUACGGGAGGCAGCAGUAGGGAAUCUUCCGCAAUGGGCGAAAGCUUGACGGAGCAACGCCGCGUGAGUGAUGAAGGUCUUCGGAUCGUAAAACUCUGUUAUUAGGGAAGAACAAAUGUGUAAGUAACUAUGCACGUCUUGACGGUACCUAAUCAGAAAGCCACGGCUAACUACGUG